GACGAACGCUAGCGGCAGGCCUAACACAUGCAAGUCGAGGGGCAGCACAGAAACAGCAAUGUUUUGGUGGCGACCGGCGGACGGGUGCGUAACGCGUAUGCAACCUACCUUUAACAGGGGGAUAACGGAGAGAAAUUUCCACUAAUACCCCAUAACAUCGAUCAAGGCAUCUUGAUUGGUCGAAAACUCAGGUGGUUAAAGAUGGGCAUGCGUUGUAUUAGGUAGUUGGUGAGGUAAUGGCUCACCAAGCCUACGAUACAUAGGGGGACUGAGAGGUUAGCCCCCCACACUGGUACUGAGACACGGACCAGACUCCUACGGGAGGCAGCAGUGAGGAAUAUUGGUCAAUGGGGGCAACCCUGAACCAGCCAUGCCGCGUGCAGGAAGACGGCUCUAUGAGUUGUAAACUGCUUUUAAACAGGGAUAAAGCACAGUAUGUAUACUGUGUUGAAGGUACUGUAAGAAUAAGGAUCGGCUAACUCCGUGCCAGCCGCCGCGGUAA
rnacentral:rRNA from 1 species